rnacentral:piRNA from 1 species
UGAGCCCCAGCAUUGUCUGAUCACUGCUUGC